GAUGAACGCUGGCGGCGUGCCUAAUACAUGCAAGUCGAGCGAACGGACGAGAAGCUUGCUUCUCUGAUGUUAGCGGCGGACGGGUGAGUAACACGUGGAUAACCUACCUAUAAGACUGGGAUAACUUCGGGAAACCGGAGCUAAUACCGGAUAAUAUUUUGCACCGCAUUGUUCAUAAGUGAAAGACGGUCUUGCUGUAACUUAUAGAUGGAUCCGCGCUGCAUUAGCUAGUUGGUAAGGUAACGGCUUACCAAGGCAACGAUUCAUAGCCGACCUGAGAGGGUGAUCGUCCACACUGGAACUGAGACACGGUCCAGACUCCUACGGGAGGCAGCAGUAGGGAAUCUUCCGCAAUGGGCGGAAGCCUGACGGAGCAACGCCGCGUGAGUGAUGAAGGUCUUCGGAUCGUAAAACUCUGUUAUUAGUGAAGAACAUAUGUGUAAGUAACUGUGCACAUCUUGACGGUACCUAAUCAGAAAGCCACGGCUAACUACGUG
rnacentral:rRNA from 1 species